GGAUGGAUGGAUGCACUAUGCUUGGAAAAUCAAAAGUGUUUCCCUCCAAACCUCCACUGUACACGAUGUAUUUGAUUUUGCCUGAAGCUGUCAGUCAUGCGUGUGAAAUAUAUGCUGGAUUGGUUGAUCUUUCCAUUUUCCUGGUAGACGCAUAAUUCGUUCCCUGCACUUCCUCAUGAGACACACCUGGCAACCGGGCAAAUACUUGGUGAAGCAUCAAACAGAAGAUUGGCAGCAUACCAAGGAAACUACAGUACGUGCAAAGGACUCGCAUGCAUAAAAAGGACUAUCAAGGAUGGCACAAAACUGCUCAACAAGAAACCAAGUGCAAGAACUCAUUUUGUACAUCUUUCACAAAAAUCAACUCACUCAAAAUGUUAAUAAUAUUGAGGUCUAUGUUUGUCCUGUUUAUAAUUCCUAAUCUUCCAAAAAAAUUAUAGGGCUACUCAAGGGGUAUUGGACAAUAUGAGACCCAAUGUCAGCGGAACAAAGGCAUGUCUGUCAUCUAGUGGUGAGUGGUGAUAUUACAACUUGAAGCGACCACUGUCACUUUAAUUAAUCAAGAGGCCACUGACAGUGUGGCUGGCAGUUUCCCAUCUCAGCAAAGCACUUGUAUUUUCUCUUUGCUUGAAUUCAAUGAUGCAUCUCACCUUCUUCAACAAAUGUCUGGCACGCGAAUCUUUGUCAUUGAGUUUAGGAAGGGGUCCAGCAGAUGGCAAGGUGUAUUCAACAAAAGGUGGUUUUGAGUGUGGCUUAAAUGGAUGAAGCGAAGGAAAAAAUUUAAAAGGUGAAGAUACAAUCGGAUGACAUACCUUUGAUAAGAUACGGUGAUACAGCAUAAAACCUUCAAAGGACUGUGAGUGAUCUUUACAUUGAUUUCCUGGUGUGAAACACACUACACACGCUCAGGUGUGACUCACCUCAAAACGAGCACAGCCUCAAGGGCAGCACAGUCACGAACAUCAAACAAAGCAAUCACUAUCGUAAAGCUAUUUUCUGUAGAUUUGGGCAGUCGACUUGCCCGAUGACAGUUGGGACUUAAAAAACAAACUAGACAACAAACUGACGAGGGAGGGACGUGGGACAGCAAUGUCCUGUGCAAUCACCAGACAUGCUGCAAGCGUGUGACAAUAAGUCGGCGCCGUACCUACGGGUACAUAGGUGGUAAUGCUUUGAAGGAAAAAAAAAUUGUGCCACAAGUACCAACCACUUACAGUAUGUCAUACGUGCUAACCACUAGUCUACCGUUCUACCAACACAGUGAUACACACCUGAUUCCCAACCACAGUGUGGCUAUGUAUUAGUGUGCCAAGGGAAAUUGUCAAAUAUAAGUAUACGGUCGUUGAUUUCCAGAGUAGCGUGUGUCUGGAAAACUGGGUGUUCAAGCGCAGUGCGGGUGUGUCUGUGGCACAAAAUUAAACUCUAAAUUUACACCUGCUCAAAACAAGUCGAAAUAGUCUAACGUGAGUUUGGUGAAUUUAAUUUGGGGCACAGGCAAACAGAUUCUAAGCUCAGGGGGUAUGUGUGGUGGAUUCCAAAUGUAUUUCAUUCAUAAACAUUAAACCCUCUGAAUCUUUUUUAAAAAUCAUCCCACUGGGCAGCACAGUGGGUGGGCUCAUAACUGAUCUCCGACUGCACACUUGAUGAAGUACAUGUGUUUCCUCUACUGUAUGUCAAGACUAGUGCGUGAUUAGCGAAUGAAAGGAGCCACAUUGAUUGGCCAAGAUGGACGUCGGCUGUGACCACAACCACAAAGAAACAGCCCUCCCUCUCGCUGAUCCGCCGUCCUGCGCGUGUCUUUGAAAUAAUCAACACUAAGUCAUCGAGUUCGAUCAACGGUUUGUCGGAUUUACACCGUCAUCAAAAUAGAGAGCUAUUGGUCGGAAUAUUGUUUAUUUAUAAUAAAUAAUGUCUGUUUGUUCAUUUAUCAAUAAUAGUGACAGGUAGAACAAUGAAAUAUUCGUCCACCAAAUGGAAGAAGGUGCUGUGGCCAUUGAUACAAUAGAAUAAUCGAUUUGUGUUCAACUGAACAGGCUCAGAUUUCAGACAAAGUGAAUUAUUUUGCCAGUAAAUUUUUAUACACAGUAGUACCUUUAUGAUGAGGCUUGCCUUUCAAAACACUUGAACCAUGAAUCUUCCUUCCCCAUCGAAAUUAAUGGAAAUUUAAUUAAUCCGUUCCAACUCUCCACAAAACACUUCAAAUUUAUUUUUUAACAUGUUUUUUUAUUGCAUUUAGCAGUACAGUACUGUCUUAAAAAAAUAAUGUUAUGAUAUUAACUAUAUAUUGUUUGGUGGUGCCUUUGCUUCAUCAAGACUGGGAAACACUGCAUUAGUAUUGAGGAUUCCUUCACCUGACUUAUUUUUCCCUCCUUGACACACACGGGACACCGCACCAUGGGUGUGGCCCAGCCUUCGAGAAUGCAGUGUGUUUAUGUCAGGGAGGACCGUGUGAACGUUGCCUGGUUGUGUCAAACGCUGACGCAUGGCAGGAGUGUGUGACGGCUCCAUGAUCCGAGACGGAGACACACACAGCCAAGCCAUGACAAGAAUGCGUGGGAGCAGAGAAGCUGCAAGCAGGCAUGCACAUCGCCAGAAAAAAAAAGUAUAGAAAUGUACAGCACAACAUGUGACACCUUCUUACCAACUGCCGGAAUAUUUCCUAUUUUUAUCAUCAUGAUUAUUAACAAUGCCAAACAAAGUCUUUGUGACUCA